GAUGAACGCUGGCGGCGUGCCUAACACAUGCAAGUCGAGCGAAGCGGGGACGGGUGAGUAACACGUGGAUAACCUCCUAUAAUACUGGGAUAACUUCGGGAAACCGGAUCUAAACCGGAUACUUAUAGAUGGAUCUGCGCUGCAUUGGCUAGUUGGUAAGGUGACGGCUGACCAAGGCAACGAUGCAUAGCCGAUCUGAGAGGGUGGUCGGCCACACUGGAACUGAGAAAUGGUACAGACUCCAGAGGGAGGCAGCAGUAGGGAAUCUGGCGCAAUGGACGAAAGCCGGACGGAGCAAGGCCGGGUGCGUGAUGAAGGUCGUCGGAUCGUAAGACGUUGUUAUUAGGGGAGCGGUACCUAAACAGAAAGCCACGGCUAACUACGUGCCAGCAGCCGCGGUAAUAC
rnacentral:rRNA from 1 species